GAUGAACGCUGGCGGCGUGCUUAACACAUGCAAGUCGAACGAUGAAGCCCAGCUUGCUGGGUGGAUUAGUGGCGAACGGGUGAGUAACACGUGAGUAACCUGCCCUUGACUCUGGGAUAAGCCUGGGAAACUGGGUCUAAUACUGGAUAUGACUUCUCAUCGCAUGGUGGGGGGUGGAGAGAUUUAUUGGUCUUGGAUGGACUCGCGGCCUAUCAGCUUGUUGGUGAGGUAAUGGCUCACCAAGGCGACGACGGGUAGCCGGCCUGAGAGGGCGACCGGCCACACUGGGACUGAGACACGGCCCAGACUCCUACGGGAGGCAGCAGUGGGGAAUAUUGCACAAUGGGCGCAAGCCUGAUGCAGCGACGCCGCGUGAGGGAUGACGGCCUUCGGGUUGUAAACCUCUUUCAGUAGGGAAGAAGCGAGAGUGACGGUACCUGCAGAAGAAGCGCCGGCUAACUACGUG
rnacentral:rRNA from 1 species